AGACGUAGGGUGCAAGCAUUAUCCGGAUUCAUUGGGCGUAAAGAGUUCGUAGGCGGAUGGUUAAGUCUUCUUUUAAAGGCCAAAGCUCAACUUUGGAAAUGGGGAAGAUACUGGCUGUCUAGAGGGUAGAAGGGGGUGUCGGAACUUGCAGUGUAGGGGUGAAAUCCGUUGAUAUUGCAAGGAACGCCAAGGGCGAAGGCAGACACCUGGUAUACUCCUGACGCUAAGGAACGAAAGCUAGGGUAGCGAAAGGGAUUAGAGACCCCUGUAGUCCUAGCCGUAAACGAUGUCCGCUAGUUGGUCCGAUGUUUCAUCGGACUGGCCAAGGUAACCCGUUAAGCGGACCGCCUGGGGAGUACGACCGCAAGGUUGAA
rnacentral:rRNA from 1 species